AGCAGAGUGGCCAGGUUGACAAAGCUAAAAUCUGAUGAACCUCAAGGUCUUGAACUGCUAGGAUAUUUUAAUAGUCAAACAUCAGUUUCAGCAUUAUUUAAUGUCAGUGAGUUAAUGAGUAUUUUUAAUAUCCAUGACAACUGCAGCUGGUCAGGGAUUUUUUAGGGAAAAGGUUUAGCACCCCAUCGUAAAAACCUGCCCCCGAAUCUCAAAAUUUCAUUAUUUUGUUCCCUUGCCCCUACAUAUAUUUUGUUCCCUUGCCCCCUAUACAAAGGUAUAAACCUUUUGUACCCUUGAGAUCUUUUAAAAAAUUUCCUAACUCUGCAGUGUGGCUUGUAACCUUGUUGCCAUAAUUAUUUUCUGAAGGCUUCAAUAAAUUUCUACUCUAACACCUGACAGAGAUGGGGGCCAUAUGCAUGAACAAGAAGAAAUGAUUUCUUCAUCUAUCGACCCCUUACCUUUAACCAAAUUUUUUAAUAAAUUAAUUUAUUGAAUGAUUUUGAAGUUUUCUAGAUUAUUGAAAAGAAAUUUAUGGGUACAAGAUAUGGGGCAGAAACAGUUAAAUUAAGCAAGAUAUAUGCAAGUAACAAUGAACAAGACCAGAUCACUGGAUGGUAUUUCAGCACACUGGUGGACAUUCAACUUAAUACCUG